AUGGGGCGACAGAGACCUCUGGGCUCACCUGCAAGCUGGUGGUAGGAGGAGUCUCCAGGCUAACCACCUGAGGUUGUCUGGGGUCCCAGCCUCCUGCCACUUCCUGUAGCAAGUACUGGGGCCCAGCAGGCUAGACUGACAACUCCUGCAGACCAAGGCAAGCACCGUUGGGGAGGAACUGAGGGCCCAAGGAGGAGCAACCUCCAGCCUGUGAAGUAAAACCUGCAGGGGGAGUCACCCAGGUACGGAUGCAUCCUCCCUUACUCUGAUGAGGACGGCGGACACCUGCACCAACUGAAAAUCACAGGCUCCAAAACAAGCUCUGGAAACACCUUGAGACCUAGAGCCACCUGCACCUCUGCUGCCCGCUACAGCUCCAGAGCCAGAGCAAGCUCAAGCCACAGCUCUCACUUAAGUUCAAAGACAAGAUCAAGUGAAUAUGCCAGCUCCAAUUCCACAACCAGGGCAUGCUUAUGCCCUAGCUCUCAUUUAAUCUCAAACGGGAGAAAAAGCAUCUACACAGGCUUCAAUUCCUGAUCCAGAGAAGGUUCCAGCAACAGCUCUCGUCCCAUCUUCAGAGCCUGAAUCAUCACAGAAACCUGUCCUAGUGCUUCCUCUACAACUUCAGCCGGUUUCCUCAACAGCCUCAGUUCAGAGCUGAAGCCACCUCGAGCGAGGGCACUGCCCCUGGCUCUGGAGCCCAUCGUGCUUUGGCACCAGCUGUGGCUGGCCCCGGAGUGUAUCCAGCUCCAGUUCUGCAUUAGAGACCACAGCAGACCCAGUUCUUCUAGUUACUCAGGUGCUAGAGCCAGUUCCUCCCUUAAGAUCCCUGGAGCUGCUGCCAGCUCAGCCACAAGCACAAGCCCAUCACAUGCAGAGCCUUCAGGGCCGAAUUAGGAGCUGCCCCAGUGCCUACAGCAGCGCUGGAGCCUUUC